GCACUGCUGAGGAGUUACACAAUAGGACGAAACGGUCGUCCAGUGC
rfam:Schistosoma haematobium scaffold279_34, whole genome shotgun sequence.